GCGGGUGUAGUAUAACGGCCAUUAUGGCUGCCUUCCAAGCAGCAUACGCGGGUUCGACUCCCGCCACCCGCA
rfam:Microgenomates bacterium GW2011_GWA2_46_16 TX37_C0019, whole genome shotgun sequence.